UGUGAAUUGCAGAAUCCCGUGAACCAUCGAGUCUUUGAACGCAAGUUGCGCCCGACGCCUUCGGGCUGAGGGCACGCCUGCCUGGGCGUCACGCAUCGCGUCGCCCCCUCCCAAACCCUUGUGGUUCGGUGAUGGGGCGGACAAUGGCUUCCCGUUAGCUCGGUUAGCCUAAAAAGGAUCCCUCAACGAUGGAUGUCACAACCAGUGGUGGUUGAAAGAUCAUUGGUGCUGUUGUGCUUCACCCUGUCGCUUGCUAGGGCAUCAUCAUAAACCAACGGCGUGAAAUGCGCCUUCGACCGCGACCCCAGGUCAGACGGGACUACCCGCUGAGUUUAAGCAUAUCAAUAAGCGGUGGAGAAGAAACUUACAAGGAUUCCCCUAGUAACGGCGAGCGAACCGGGAAUAGCCCAACUUGAGAAUCGGGCGGCUACGCUGUCCGAAUUGUA
rnacentral:rRNA from 1 species